rnacentral:rRNA from 1 species
CUUGCUCUUGUUUGGUUAGCGGCGGACGGGUGAGUAACACGUGGGUAACCUACCCGUAAGACCGGGAUAACUCCGGGAAACCGGAGCUAAUACCGGAUAACACCUAAGACCGCAUGGUCUUUGGUUGAAAGGCGGCUUCGGCUGUCACUUACGGAUGGGCCCGCGGCGCAUUAGCUAGUUGGUGAGGUAACGGCUCACCAAGGCGACGAUGCGUAGCCGGCCUGAGAGGGUGACCGGCCACACUGGGACUGAGACACGGCCCAGACUCCUACGGGAGGCAGCAGUAGGGAAUCUUCCGCAAUGGACGAAAGUCUGACGGAGCGACGCCGCGUGAGCGAAGAAGGUCUUCAGAUCGUAAAGCUCUGUUGUUAGGGAAGAAGAAGUACCGUUCGAAUAGGGCGGUACGGUGACGGUACCUAACGAGAAAGCCCCGGCUAACUACGUGCCAGCAGCCGCGGUAAUACGUAGGGGGCGAGCGUUGUCCGGAAUUAUUGGGCGUAAAGCGCGCGCAGGCGGUCCCUUAAGUCUGAUGUGAAAGCCCACGGCUCACCCGUGGAGGGCCAUUG